AUUGAACGCUGGCGGCAGGCCUAACACAUGCAAGUCGAACGGAAAGGCCUCAGCUUGCUGGGGUACUCGAGUGGCGAACGGGUGAGUAACACGUGGGUGAUCUGCCCUGCACUUUGGGAUAAGCUUGGGAAACUGGGUCUAAUACCGAAUAUGACCACUUCUUGGAUGUUGUGGUGGAAAGCUUUUGCGGUGUGGGACGAGCCUGCGGCCUAUCAGCUUGUUGGUGGGGUAAUGGCCUACCAAGGCGGCGACGGGUAUCCGGCCUGAGAGGGUGUACGGACACAUUGGGACUGAGAUACGGCCCAGACUCCUACGGGAGGCAGCAGUGGGGAAUAUUGCGCAAUGGGCGCAAGCCUGAUGCAGCGACGCCGCGUGGGGGAUGAAGGCCUUCGGGUUGUAAACUCCUUUCGCUAUCGACGAAGCCACUUGUGGUGACGGUAGGUAGAUAAGAAGCACCGGCUAACUACGUGCCAGCCGCCGCAGUAA
rnacentral:rRNA from 1 species